CGCGGGAUAGAGCAAUUUGGUAGCUCGCAAGGCUCAUAACCUUGAGGUCAUGGGUUCAAAUCCCGUUCCCGCAA
rfam:Gossypium hirsutum cultivar TM-1 chromosome 21, whole genome shotgun sequence